rnacentral:ncRNA from 1 species
ACUGUACAACUGACGGAAGUGGAACAGACCACGGGAAGUGCAGUAUUGUGAGCCGACCGUCUGGGCAU